rnacentral:rRNA from 1 species
UACGUAGGGUGCAAGCGUUAAUCGGAAUUACUGGGCGUAAAGCGUGCGCAGGCGGUUCGCUAAGACCGAUGUGAAAUCCCCCGGGCUUAACCUGGGAACUGCAUUGGUGACUGGCGGGCUAGAGUAUGGCAGAGGGGGGUAGAAUUCCACGUGUAGCAGUGAAAUGCGUAGAGAUGUGGAGGAAUACCGAUGGCGAAGGCAGCCCCCUGGGCCAAUACUGACGCUCAUGCACGAAAGCGUGGGGAGCAAACAGG